ensembl:snRNA U6 U6 spliceosomal RNA
GUACUUGCUUCAGCAGCACAUAUCCUAAAAUUGGAAUGAUACAGAAGAGAAAGGUUAGCGUGGCCCCUGUGCAAAGAUGACACGUGGGUUCAUGAAACGUUCCAUAUUUAA